AUACAAGGUCUUUUAACUUUAUUAAGCUUUGUUUUCUCAUCUGUAAAAUGGAAAAGGGCCUGCUCUGCAUGGUUGCAGAGAUGAGUGUUAGUGUGCUUGACACUCUUCCUCUGAGGAAAUAGCACCCGUGGUUGCCAGUUUGUGGCUACUGGAGCCUCACAUGGCAUUUGGAGGUGUGGCUCACUACCCCACCCCCGCCUGGGGCUCCAGGCUAACCCAGGCAAAACUGUAGGUGCUCUCUGACCCUCAGUGUGCUCCCUCUCGGCCCACAGCCCCCGGUCCCUGAGAAGCGGCCCCCUGAAGUACAGCAUUUCCGCAUGAGUGAUGAUGUCCACUCACUGGGAAAGGUGACCUCAGAUCUGGCCAAAAGGAGGAAGCUGAACUCAGGAGGUGGCCUGUCGGAGGAGUUAGGUUCUGCCCGGCGUUCAGGAGAAGUGACCCUGACGAAAGGGGACCCUGGGUCCCUGGAGGAGUGGGAGACGGUGGUGGGUGAUGACUUCAGUCUCUACUAUGAUUCCUACUCUGUGGAUGAGCGCGUGGACU
rnacentral:sRNA from 1 species